GACGAACGCUGGCGGCGUGCUUAACACAUGCAAGUCGAACGGAAAGGCCCUGCUUUUGUGGGGUGCUCGAGUGGCGAACGGGUGAGUAACACGUGAGUAACCUGCCCUUGACUUUGGGAUAACUUCAGGAAACUGGGGCUAAGAUCGGAUAGGAGCUCCUGCUGCAUGGUGGGGGUUGGAAAGUUUCGGCGGUUGGGGCUGGACGCGCGGCUUAUCAGCUUGUUGGUGGGGUAGUGGCUUACCAAGGCUUUGACGGGUAGCCGGCCUGAGAGGGUGACCGGCCACAUUGGGACUGAGAGACGGCCCAGACUCCUACGGGAGGCAGCAGUGGGGAGUAUUGCACAGUGGGCGGAAGCCUGAUGCAGCAACGCCGCGGGCGUGAUGACGGCCUUCGGGUUGUAAACCGCUUUCGCCUGUGACGAAGCGUGAGUGACGGUAAUGGGUAAAGAAGCACCGGCUAACUACGUG
rnacentral:rRNA from 1 species